AUUUUUUGAGGGCAAACUUGCCGAAAGGCAGGGACUCAAAGCCAAGGAUUUAAAGCGUUUAGAAAACGCUAUGACAGCCUUGCUGCAAAA
rnacentral:ncRNA from 1 species